CAAACAAAAACUUACUUCGAACACUUUUCAACCACUAAAAUGAUGACCCGAAGUUUUGCGAAUUCUUGAUGUAUUGAGCCUACAUUAUUAAUCGCACAAAAUAAAAUCGGGUUCUAUAUAAAAUAUUGAAGUUCUGGAGUCUUGAAGCAUGUUAAUCUAUGGCCAAAGUAUGAAAAUUUAAAAGAAAGAGAGUAAUUCACCCCGCAAAAAAAAAAAAUAACGCAGUAAUUUUCUGCGUUAUUGGGCUUAAUUUUCUGCGUUAUUAAAAAAACAAACAAUGUAAAAAAAAUGCAGACUUUGUAUUUGUAGCAAACACUAAUAUAAUAAAGUUUUAAAUAUGAAGCACAAACUACAAUGUUAUAUUAAAUCGUGUUUUGAACAUAGUAUCCCAUAUUGACAAAAUCAAGCAAUAUAAAAAAAAAGUGAACCCCAUAUUAAAAAAAAUAUAAUGUUAAAAAAAAAGUGCAGACUUUGUAUUCGUAGCAAACACUAAUAUAAUAAAGUUUAGAUACGGAGCACAAACUAUAAUGCUAUAUUAAUCGUGUUUUGAACAUAGUAUAUGUAUAUAUAUCAUAUGCAUAAAAAUAGUACAAACUAAUAAUUUGCAAAUUCUUCUCCGAGUUGGUAGCGACAUUAUCUUCUCUCUUUUUAUAUAAUUUGCAAAUUCUUCUCCCAAAAUCAAUAAAUGUUUCUUCUCAUUCAUUUGUUUCUUUUUCCUUUCUAUUCUCUUUCUUGUUUCAGGAAUGGGUGAUGUACAUAUCAAAAAUGAGUUUCGCCUAUUGAUUCUCCAUCUUAUCUCUGCUUGUGUUGAACCAUGAUCAACCAUGGCCAGUGCAUAUGCUGAGGAGUUUAAGCGGCAGUUCCCACGGUUUUAUCAACAAUUGGUUAAGCAAGGGCAAGAGUUUGAAGAUGUUAGAGGAAAACAACAGAAGUUUCUUGUCAACUGGUGGGACGAGUCAGUUUAACACUUUUUAGUCGAAAGGUAAUAAUUGUUGCUAUAACUUUAGCAAUACACUUUUGCAGGGGCCAUUUUCAUAUCUGUACCAAGUUAAGCGUGGAGUUUCAAUUUAGGAUAAAGGGAGUAAAACAACAUUUUAUAAAAUAAACUACUGUGGGAAAGAAAAACAUUCAAUAUUUUUCUAUUAAAAGUUCCUGUAUUGCUGUUUCA